rnacentral:tRNA from 1 species
CACCAGUUAGCCUAGUGGUUAAGACUAUGGAUCGCCAAUCCGGAGACGGCGGGUUCGAUUCCCGUUCCGGUCG